CUUUACUACAAUGUAAUGAACUCCUGAUAGCACCAGUGAAGUUGCCUUUUGGCCUGCCUCUUCCUUACAGCACAAAGAAGAGGAUGGACAUGGUAGGACAUCAGGGAAAUGCAUGAGCAGGGGAAAGAAGAAGAGGAAUAAACAGAAAGUAAAACUGGGUAAAAAAAAGGAAUUGGUGGAAGGAGAAGUGAUGUGGAGACACAGAGUAAACAGUGCAACACAAAAGAUGGUAACAAGAAGAAACGCCCUGUGGCAAAAGAAAGCAGAGAGAAAGCAAAGAAAACUGCAGCAAGCAGACAAAGCUGUACUGACUUUGGAGCUCGCAGGAUCAAGGGAUACUUCCAACAAGCAGUUUGGACACGGCCACCCUGCUCACCCACAGAAGCACAUCUCAGACACUCACCAGAAGGCCAGAAACAGCCCUCGGCUCUUUCUACUUGUUGACAUAGAUGGAGCUAAGGAAGACCUACAAACUGAUGGAGUUCAUUUCCCCACCUCUGUGGGCUGCACUCCACACCAGCUCCUAAGGGGUUUGGUCCUACUGACAGCAGAGAGGAGCAGUGGGUCUCCACCAUGUCACAGACUUUUUCCUGAUGAGACUCAGGCAAUUACAAGUGGGGAACAGAGCCUGAGCAUCAUCAGAGCACUGCUGACUCCACUUUGUUUGUUGGGUCUGUGCUCACCAACCUGGCACUGUGGUGCAGAGACUUCUGACUAAUUCAAGGAAGCAUCAUCCAGCAAAAUUUAUCACCUUAGGGCGAGC
rnacentral:lncRNA from 1 species